CCUCCCCGCAGGUGACACCUAGUUCUUCAAGGGCGUCCACUACUGGCGCUUCCUCAAGGGCAGCAUCAAAGCCGAGCCAGACUCCCCCAACCCAGGGGCCCAAGUUCCUGGACUACCCUGCCCCCAGGGUGGGCCUUCCUGCCCCCAGACCGCCCAGAGAGACCUUUAAGCCCGGAGACUGCGCCUGUCAGUGCGUGUCAGUGCGGGAUCAGUCAGGCUGCAGGGCGGCCUUAGGACAGCCCCACUGCCCACUGCCAGCUGAGCCAGCUCUCCAGCCUCUGCUCUAAUGUUUCUCAUCCUGUCCUGCCUCCAUGAAGUGCCAAUCGAAGCACAUUGGUGGGGUCCCAAACCCAGCUCUGAGACCACCCCUAAGCAUCUGUCCCAAGUCCAGGGUGACAUCCAUGGUUCACAGUCACCGACUCUCAGGGACGCUGAGUCUGGACUGCUCAGCAGUGGCCUGCUAGCUGGGGCUCUGCCACAGGGUCUCAGGGGCAGAACCAGAGCCGUGGAGCAGCAUGGCUUCCGCUAGGGACUUUGAUGAUUCCAUCAAUUCCCUCAAAACCAAAAUGUUUCAACUUGUGGAAUUGUUUUGUGAAAACCUUCCAAAGAAAUCUGAAGAAGAGGUCUGCUCGGAUCUUAUUGUAAUGGAGAGCGUAUGCAGUGCAGAUAUGGCUGACGCCGUGGAUGCUCAAGUUAACAACUCCGAAUCCUGUCCCUUGCUUCGUGAAACACAGCAAGAGUUGCGUCGCAGAGUCUGUGAGCCCUCUGGCUCCUACAGUCUCCCAGGCCUGAACCAGCCCUUUGACUCCUCCACUCCAAGGAAUUGGUGCGACUGAAUACUUGAGCUAUUUGAAGAGUUCCUGCAGCGACUGCAGCAGUUUCGGAAAGCCCUGGACUGGCUUAAGCAGAUAGCGGCUGCCUACCUACAGGGCUUGUGCAGAGCGGCUGAGGCCAUCUGGACAGUGUUGAAGGGUUUUUGCUCCUCUCUGGAGCAGCUCUUCAAGAGCCUCAUCCAGGUCUAGAAGCCCCAAAGGGUCCCCAGGGAGCUUGGCCUCAUCUAGAAGCCUCGAUUUUCCCUUUUCACAGGGCAUCUUCUGAUUCAUCCUGUACAAUUCUGCUCACCUUUGACCCAUCCUCGCAGCCUGCCUCACCCCCUCCCCUUCAGGGAGGGCACCACCCAGCCCAUCUAAGUCUCUCUGCCUGGAUUUUCCUGCACCAUGUCUGACCUGCCUGUCACUGUAGUGCUGAUGUCCUAAUAAAAGUCAGUUGACCCAAAUGGAG
ensembl:lncRNA